rnacentral:tRNA from 1 species
CAAGAAAUAGUUUAAAUAAAAUAUUAAUUUUGGAGAUUAAUGAUAAAGAUAUGUCUUUUUUCUUGA